rnacentral:rRNA from 1 species
GAUGAACGCUGGCGGCGUGCCUAAUACAUGCAAGUCGAGCGAACGGACGAGAAGCUUGCUUCUCUGAUGUUAGCGGCGGACGGGUGAGUAACACGUGGAUAACCUACCUAUAAGACUGGGAUAACUUCGGGAAACCGGAGCUAAUACCGGAUAAUAUUUUGAACCGCAUGGUUCAAAAGUGAAAGACGGUCUUGCUGUCACUUAUAGAUGGAUCCGCGCUGCAUUAGCUAGUUGGUAAGGUAACGGCUUACCAAGGCAACGAUGCAUAGCCGACCUGAGAGGGUGAUCGGCCACACUGGAACUGAGACACGGUCCAGACUCCUACGGGAGGCAGCAGUAGGGAAUAUUGCACAAUGGGCGAAAGCCUGACGGAGCAACGCCGCGUGAGUGAUGAAGGUCUUCGGAUCGUAAAGCUCUGUUAUUAGGGAAGAACAUAUGUGUAAGUAACUGUGCACAUCUUGACGGUACCUAAUCAGAAAGCCACGGCUAACUACGUG